ensembl:lncRNA
UGGGAUACUGUUUGCAUUACAUUUGCAUUUAUGCCUUUUGUAGACACUUAUAUCCGAGGCGACUUGCAUUGCAUUCAAUGUAUAUCAGUUCACGCAUUCCCUGGGAAUCGAACCCAUGACAUUGGCAUUGCUUUUUUUAGCUACAGAAUACCAUAAUGUACACUGUUGCUCAUGGUAUUUUUAAAAAAUAAGUAUGCAGUAUACAGUGAGCUAGUAUUCCCUUCUGAACAGAGCCUGAGCGGUGAAACACGUGGGAAGCCUUCAGAAGCAGAGCCGCCCCUAAAUGUAUGAAAUCACAACAUGCAUGGUUUGUUUUUCUUUUUCCCCUGCUUUUCUGCUCGUUUCUCCACAUAGAUGCCCUAUGUGUCAAGACCAUCUUGACGGCCGUGUGUUAGUGUCAGUCCAAAGUUGUUUUAGUGACCCUGAGUGUUAGUUUGAGAUCAGUUCUGGUGGGUUAACAAUCAUGCCUGAUCCCCGGGCAGAUGACUACUGUGGGAAGUAUGAUGGAGUAAUUACUUGCACAUUGAUAUGGUUUUCCAGGCCAUUACAUUCUGUGCCACAGGAAGGAACUGCCUUGUUCUGUUUGCCGUAUCGCCCAUGCCAGAUCUUUUAACUCGACUGAUUUUCCAUCAACAGUUGGGCUUGAAAGAGCAAUAAAAGAGUUAAUCAGAUGCAUUGGUUGACAUUUAAUGAGGGUAUAACUCAAUGAUCUGCACGUCAGAUGACAGCUAAACAUUGCCCUCUCCUGGAUAUAUAACUGGAAUCUCUUGCUUGAUGAGCCAAGAAGCGUUGGGCUCCGGUCCAGGAGAACGAGUCUAUGUCUAGACACACAGGUGCAGAUCUCUGCUGUCUGAACGCUUGAUUCUCCCGGCCCUGUGUGUCACAGCGAGCACAGCUUCAGCAGGACACACCCUGUCCCACACUGACUUCCCCCAGUGGCUUUCACUGUGCAGAAACCAAAGCUAAAGCCAUACACUCUGGACCACAGCCAGACACUGG